rnacentral:tRNA from 1 species
GUUUUUAUAGUUAAACUAUAGCAGCGGUUUUUCGUACCGAAGGUCCUAGGUGAGUGUUAUUCUAGGUAAAAAUA